rnacentral:rRNA from 1 species
UGGGGAAUAUUGGACAAUGGGCGGAAGCCUGAUCCAGCCAUGCCGCGUGUGUGAAGAAGGCCUUUUGGUUGUAAAGCACUUUAAGCGAGGAGGAGGCUACUAGUACUAAUACUACUGGAUAGUGGACGUUACUCGCAGAAUAAGCACCGGCUAACUCUGUGCCAGCAGCCGCGGUAAUACAGAGGGUGCGAGCGUUAAUCGGAUUUACUGGGCGUAAAGCGUGCGUAGGCGGCUUUUUAAGUCGGAUGUGAAAUCCCCGAGCUUAACUUGGGAAUUGCAUUCGAUACUGGGAAGCUAGAGUAUGGGAGAGGAUGGUAGAAUUCCAGGUGUAGCGGUGAAAUGCGUAGAGAUCUGGAGGAAUACCGAUGGCGAAGGCAGCCAUCUGGCCUAAUACUGACGCUGAGGUACGAAAGCAUGGGGAGCAAACAGG